CCCACUGGCAUCAAACAUGGUGAAAUGCUUCAGCUACAAUCAUCUGUGUGGAAGAAGUGUGUAGAGUGUCACAUUCGAUUGAAAAAUAGUUACACAAUGAUACGUUGUGAAUAAGGGUGCAAAGAACAUAAUGGCGCAGUGAAAAUACGAUAGAUACUGCCCUCUCAAAAGCUGCAGCCCUUUACACUCGUACCCGUAUACAGGUUGAAAAUGGCAGAUUUGGGCACUGAUAAGCACCUAGAUUGGAGUGUAGGGGCUGUAAAGUAGCAUGCUAUACAUAACGUCAGAGCUCAGGCUUUGCGCUUCACAGCGCUCUGUGGGUUUUGACUGACAGAGGUUCUGAACUUGAACAUUGCACAGACAAAAAGUUGCCCACAUCCUUCCCGGUAAUUGGGCAACUUUUGCAUUUUUUCUGUUGUCUGAGCGAGGGAAAUGCUGUAAAGUAAGACGAAUAUUUAUUUUGAAAGAUGAGACAUUGAGGAUUAGAAUAAAUAAUGUUUUGAUGUCAUACAAGCAAGCCAAACAUCCGUGAGUCAUAAAACUCAUUUCACAUACAGUGUCAACGUUUAUGAUCACUAUGUUUGAUGUACAGUUACAAGACGACAUGGUGUCACAUCCAGGGUUGCUCUGAACAGAAUGAGCCUAUGCUUGUUUAUUGUGAAGAACAUUUGCUGCAGCACGCUCACCUGAAUGCUCUCAUGACUCUUUUCUAAGCGCACCAAAAUGAUGAUCUGUUCCUCUGAAUUGCCUUGUGAAAGCCAAACAGUAUACAAUCGUGUUUUAUAACUUAUCUAGUCAUGUUGGCAAUAGAACAAGCUUUCAAAUCAUGCCCACCUGACCCAGAUUGUGAUUUCUGAUGGACCGUUUUUGGAUUGCAUAAACAACAACGGUAAUUGUGUGAUUGUGGGGAUACAGGGUUGUAUUUGAAAGGCAACAACUACAACUUCACUUGCUCUAGUUCCUCAAUGGCACAGUUAGGAGAGUUCUAAGUACCUCACAGUUGAAGACUCUACUUAUAAAUAGUCAUAAAAGUACAUUGAAAUUGCUUAGGAACUAUGCACACUUUGGAGAGGUGUGUGGCCACUUAAAGACACCAGUUUGCAGAGGCGUGGACUUGAGUCACAUUCUUGAUACUCGACUAGAUAGAAAAUAAAGUAACUUGAGACUUCACUUGGGACUCAACUUUGACUUGAGACUGAUGACUUCAAAUUAUCUGGCCAGGUUUCGUAAUGUUUUGUCACUGUGGACUAGGCUACUCUCAAUGCAGCCAGAGAUAGUAUCGCACGUGCAAUCGGGUGCAGCGCAAGCGUCAAACUGCAGGGCAAGAGGAUUUCCGUAAAUAGGCAGCUCUCCCAAAAAAUUGGUGAUCAAGAAUAUGAACAGUUUACUUUUCAAGCUCACCAGCAAUGGGGCAUCAAGCAACAAUUAUUACUAUAGGCCUUGGUCUUUUUGGUACGUCAAAAUUACUUGAAAUUGAUUGUUUACUUACAGUAUGAAGCUUCCAUUGUCACGUUCCUGACCUGUUUUCUGUUAGUUUUGUAUGUGUUAGUUGGUCAGGACGUGAGUUUGGGUGGGUAGUCUAUGUUAUGUGUUUCUAUGUUUGUUUAAGGGUGACCUGAUAUGGCUCUCAAUUAGAGGCAGGUGGUUUUCAUUUCCUCUGAUUGAGAGCCAUAUUAAGGAAGGUGUUUUCACAUUGUUUGUUGUGGGUGGUUGUCUCCUGUGUCUGUGUCAGUGUAUGUUACGCCACACGGGACUGUUUUCGGUUUUGUUUGUUUGUUUGUUUGUUUGUUUGUUUUAUGUAGUCAGUUUUCCUGUUAUUGCGUUCUUCGUGUUUCAUGUAAGUUCGUCGUCCAGGUCUGUCUACGUCGUUUAUUGUUUUGUAAUUAUUCAAGUGUUCGUCGUGUUUUCUGUUUUGUUUAAUAAAUAAUAUGUCGAACUACAACGCUGCAUUUUGGUCGAAUCACUACUCCUCCUUUUCGGAUGAAGAGGAGGAGGAAUGCCGUUACAUCCAUUUGGAAUUUGUUGUUAAAAUUAGUUAUUACAUAAUCAAAAUGUGUUGUAGAUUUAACAAUUCAAAGGUCUGUCUGGUUUCCUCAAUAAAUAGACAAAGUUUUGAAGUUGAACAAGUCAAUGCAUGUAGGCCUAUAGAUUUGUCUUACUUGUCUUGAGACUUGACAUGAAUAAAUGUAUAACUGGACAUGAUUUGGUCUUAGAAUGCACGACUUGGACGUGACUCGAGACUAUACCCGUUUUACUUGGGACGUUAUUAGUGCAUCUGUAACACAGGAGGUUGGUGGCACCUUAAUUGGGGAGGACAGGCUCGUGGUAAUGGCUGAAGUGGAAUAAGUGGAAUGGAAUCAAAUACAUCAAACAUGGUUGCUGUGUGUGUCACGCCUGCUCCCGCUCUCCCUCUCUGGUGCUCGAGGGCACCAGGCGGCCCAUCAUUACGCACACCUGUCACCAUCGUUACGCGCAUCAGCGCUUCAUUGGACUCACCUGGUCUCACUUAUUGAUUGCCUCCCCGAUAUCUGUCUAUUCCUCAGGUUCAUCCCAGUGUCAGUUCCCCCUGUCCAGACGCUGUCCUUGUUUUGUUUCCUGUCGGUUAUUCACUCCCUGUACUUGCUUCUUGUCUCCCAGCAUCUGUCCUCACAGAAUGCUGACACCACAAUUGGAAGCAUCAGGUCGGGUCCGGGUCCAGGUGCCGUUGAUGUAGACAUUGCGUGCCACAGUAUGAAAUAGGACCAAAUAGGGGGACUAUGUACAAAAAGUGCUGUUAUUUCUAAACAUUUCACCCGAUAUGAAUGAAAAUACCAUCAACUUAAACCUGUCAUUGUAUAAUUUCAAGUCCAAAGUUCUGGAGUACAGAGCCAAAACUGCCCCAAUACUUUUGGAGCUCACUGUAGGGCAAUUCCCACGAGUGUAAAGGGUUAAUACGUUUUUUUACAAAGCACAGAAAAAUGACAGAAAGGAAAUUAUUUGCCAUGUUAUAUUGUACAGUAUAGUUCUAGACACAGCAAACUUUUCCAUGAAAUCCAGAUUCACAAUGCUAAGGGGUGGCGAACCGGAUGAACUGUUCCUAAAGUAAAACGCCACCAUGGCUGUGUCCCAAAUGGCACCCUAUUCCCUUUAUAGUGUGAAAGUAGUGCACUAUAUAGGAAAUAGGAUGCAAUUUGGUACGUAUACUAAAUCCCCAUGUUACCAGAGAACAGCAUAGUAUACAUAGUAAAACAAACAGAAAAGCAGUUCUUAAUUAUAAUUAAUCCUGCACUCAGAUUCCAGGCGUAACAUUGUUUUCUUCCCUGCAGUGCCAACUCUGUGACCUGAGUCACAGUCUAUCCCAUAAUAGUAUUGUUCUAACUCUGUGAUUCAUCAUCCCACCAACAGCUAAUGUAAUAGUGGGGAACUAGUGGCGCUGCAAUUAGGUUUGUGUCCAACAGCGGGGGGUGUUGGUCUCCAUCACACACCUACAUUUUUAAUCACUGUCUGUUGCACAAUUUUUUUGAGGUAUUAAUUUAAAACAUUUUACUAACAUAGUUUUCUAUUUCAGAGAGAGGAAAGGGCAACUUUGCAAAUGUGAUCAAAGAACACGCCAUAAUGAGGCCUCUGAUAGCAGCGCCAAAUACUGCCCUGAUGACACAGACAGCUUCAUCAACAACGACAGGCCCUGCCAGUCAACACCACCUCAUAAGAUUGGCUGCUGCAGUUGUUCGAGAGAUGUCCAGUUUACGGCCGAACAUGCAGCAUAGAGAAAACGAGCAAGGGGGCCCUCCUGCAGACAUGCCCUUGCUGUGAGCAUUUCUAUGAAUGGAACAGUCAGCCACAUGCUGGCAAGUAUCCAGCCAGCACCUGUCAGCAGCAACAGCUUUCUCAGGCUCCAGUCAGCAGCAACAGCUUUCAAAGGCUCCAGUCAGCAGCAACAGCUUUCACAGGCUCCAGUCAGCAGCAACAGCUUUCACAGGCUCCAGUCAGCAGCAACAGCUUUCACAGGCUCCAGUCAGCAGCAACAGCUUUCACAGGCUCAUCAUUUGUACAAAUACAGAAGUAUCUUUGAUGAGGGGCCAGAAGCUGAUCUAUGCUGCAAUGCCCAUCAAUAGGGCUCUGGCAAAGACCUCACCUCCAGCCUCACCUCUUGCCUGCUCACCAACGGUCGUCGAUGGGGAGAUCAGAAUUAGGACCUGAGCCCUAGGACCAUGUCUCAGGACUACCUGGCCUGAUGACCCCUUACUGUCCCCAGUCCACCUGGUCAUGCUGCUGCUCCAGUUCCACUGUUCUGCCUGCGGCUAUGGAACCCUGACCUGUUCACCAGACGUGCUACCCGAACCAGACCAGCUGUUUCCAACUCUCUAGAGACAUCAGGAGCGGUAGAGAUACUCUGAAUGAUCGGCUAUGAAAAGCCAACUGACAUUUACUCCUGAGGUGCUGACCUGUUGCACCCUCUACAAGCACUGUGAUUAUUAUCAUUUGACCCUGAUGGUCAUCUAUGAACAUCUGAACAUGUUGGCCAUGUUCUGUUAUAAUCUCCACCCGGCACAGCCAGAAGAGGACUGGCCACCCCUCAUAGCCUGGUUCCUCUCUAGGUUUCUUCCUCAGUUCUGGCCUUUCUAGGGAGUUUUUUCUAGCCACCGUGCUUCUACACCUGCAUUGCUUGCUGUUUGGGGUUUUAGACUGGGUUUCUGUACAGUACUUUGUGACAUCAGCUGAUGUAAGAAGGGCUUUAUAAAUACAUUUGAUUGAUUGAUUGAUUAAUUGUUUGAGGAGAGCUCCUAACAACAAAACACUUUUUUUCACCGCGGUAGGUUUGAUAAAUUCACCUCUGAAGGUGAAAUGUGUACUUACAUUCUGAAAUCUUGCUCUGAUUUAUUAUCCAAAGGGUCCCAGUGAUAACAUGAAGUGUCAUUUUGUUAGAUACAAUUAUUUUUCAUAUCCUAAAAAGGUCCAUAUAGCAUGCACGAUCAAUUUUGUGUUUCCACUCGUUCAAUUUGCAAAGAAAGGAAUCUGUAAAAAUCUCACCAUAAAUGUUGUUUCAACAAGUCAAAUCAUGUUCGUAUGUAUUCCUCAGAGAUCCUAGAAGGUAAAAAGACUUCAUUAUUUCAUUAGUGAUGUACUAUAUCCUAUAGGACACCAUAUUUGUUCAGAGAGCGACGCCUUCAUGGCACGCCGAUGACGCGGGCGGCCAUCACUUGAACAACUUUAUCUUUGUCAAAUAAGCACCAAUCGGGGUCACACAAAGCUAGCUAGAUAGCCAAGGAUCUGGGCUUUACGGGAGUAUCUGGAAACCAUAUGUCGUCAAAUGUAGCUUCUAACCUUGUACGACAGCAUGCCUUUUAAUUUUAGACAACAAUUAUAAAGAUAUUCAGAGUUUUGAAGUUAUGAAAACUGGUUGUUUUGCAAAUGUUUAACUUAUAAUAUGGCUACUAAUACUUUGAAAGCUAAAUCAACGUCCAAGUAUACAGAUUUUAUGAUAUUCUUACAGAGAAAUGUAAUAUGAAUGCGAAUGUCUCCUUCACGAUUAGCCCAAAUGUGGGGACUUCACACUAAACGUUUUGUAGUUCACUCAUACUUCAAGAUAUCCAUCUGAAACUUUGCACAUACACUGCUGCCAUCGUGUGGACACUAUUGGAAUUACAACCAGAGUGAUGGCUAGAACUGUGACCUUUCUCUUGCAUUUCAAAGAUGGUGGUUUAAUUUUUGUUUUGUUUUUUUCUUUCAAUUUUCUUCUACCAGAUCUAUUGUGUUAUAUUCUCCUACAUUCCUUUCACAUUUCCACAAACUUCAAAGUGUUUCCUUUCAAAUGGUACCAAGAAUAUGCAUAUCCUUGCUGCAGGGCCUGAGCUACAGGCAGUUAGAUUUGGGUAUGUCAUUUUAGGCAAAAAUUGAAAAAAAGGGUCUUGCUCGCCGAAUGACCAUCACCGCUUCCUUUUAAGUCACUGGAGAAGUGCUCUGCUGUAGCUGCUGCUGCUGUUGUUGUUGCUGGAAUAGCUAGUUGGCCUACUUGAGUCAUCCAUCUUUCGUUCAUAUCAGCCAUUGUUUUGUAGUUCAGCAUCUGAUUCAGCCUGGCCAUGACAUCAGUUGUUGGAAAUCCAUGCCCUCAUGAUGCAUCAUUCCCUCACACAAAGAGACCCCUAGCGGGCUCGCGGGUCCGAUGAACUAAUUGUAUCAACGAAAAAAAUAAACGGUCAAUAGCCA